rnacentral:rRNA from 1 species
AGCGAACGCUGGCGGCAGGCUUAACACAUGCAAGUCGAGCGGGCACUUUCGGGUGUCCGCGGCGGACGGGUGAGUAACGCGUGGGAACGUGCCCUCUGGUUCGGAAUAACUCAGGGAAACUUGAGCUAAUACCGGAUACGCCCUUUUGGGGAAAGGCUUGCUGCCGGAGGAUCGGCCCGCGUCUGAUUAGCUAGUUGGUGAGGUAACGGCUCACCAAGGCGACGAUCAGUAGCUGGUCUGAGAGGAUGAUCAGCCACACUGGGACUGAGACACGGCCCAGACUCCUACGGGAGGCAGCAGUGGGGAAUGUUGGACAAUGGGCGCAAGCCUGAUCCAGCCAUGCCGCGUGAGUGAUGAAGGCCUUAGGGUUGUAAAGCUCUUUUAUCCGGGACGAUAAUGACGGUACCGGAGGAAUAAGCCCCGGCUAACUUCGUG